CAGUUGCCAUAACUCCGAGUUUACUCACCUAAGUCUUCCGGAUAGGGUGUGUAAUCCUGUGGCAAUACCGCCACGCGGGCAUCACUAGAAAUGAUGAUGCCUCCCGUGUUUGGAAAGGUGUUUCAUGGCGCAACAAU
rfam:Vibrio sp. CECT 9027 strain CECT 9027T genome assembly, contig: 0002